GACGAACGCUGGCGGCGUGCCUAAUACAUGCAAGUAGGACGCACAGUCUAUACCGUAGCUUGCUACACCAUAGGCUGUGAGUUGCGAACGGGUGAGUAACGCGUAGGUAACCUGCCUAUUAGAGGGGGAUAACUAUUGGAAACGAUAGCUAAUACCGCAUAACAGUAUGUAACACAUGUUAGAUGCUUGAAAGAUGCAAUUGCAUCGCUAGUAGAUGGACCUGCGUUGUAUUAGCUAGUAGGUAGGGUAAUGGCCUACCUAGGCGACGAUACAUAGCCGACCUGAGAGGGUGAUCGGCCACACUGGGACUGAGACACGGCCCAGACUCCUACGGGAGGCAGCAGUAGGGAAUCUUCGGCAAUGGGGGGAACCCUGACCGAGCAACGCCGCGUGAGUGAAGAAGGUUGUCGGAUCGUAAAGCUCGGUUGUUAAGGAAGAACGAGUGUGAGAAUGGAAAGUUCAUACUGUGACGGUACUUAACCAGAAAGGGACGGCUAACUACGUG
rnacentral:rRNA from 1 species